GAGUUAUCACCAACAGGUACGAGAAUCUUAACAUUGUUCAAGUACACAUCACAACGUUGAGAUUCUCGUACCUGUUGGUGACAACUCAAAAUCUUU
rnacentral:pre_miRNA from 2 species